GCUAUACAGAGAAACCCUGUCUCGAAAAACAAACAAAAAAAAAACCAAAAACAAAAACAAAAAAAUCAGCAUUUGAAUAAACACAAGGAUAAUCUUUUCACAGUACAGAAAAACAUUAUGCGUACAGGAAGAUUUAUUUGGGCUUAUGGUUGCAGGGAAUUUCAGUUCCUCACAGUGAGGAAAACGUGGCUGUAAGAGCAUGAGACAGAAGCUUGUCCUUGUCCGUAUGGUGAUGGGUCAGAAAGCAGAGAACACUCUGCAACCAGGGGGUAGCCCUGGGACCUAUCUCUGCAAGCCAGUCCCACAUCCUAAAGGUUCCAUAACCCCUCACCCACAUGAGCCUCUGGGAGCAUCUCAGAUUGAUGGAACUCUUUAUGGCUGUACUCUCUUACUGUUCUAUGGAUUCUGGAAGUCAGGGCCUGAAAGUUGAGCAGAGCCUAUGCUAUGGCCAGGCUUUGGGAAAGGGAUUGAGUGUGCUGUAGCCAAGAUAUGGAGGAAGUAGAAGUCAGGAGCUAGCAUCUGGAGCAGCAGCCUGCAGUUCAGUGUGCUAAGUGCUUCUUCCAGAUCCCUCUUCCUGACCGGCUUUGUCCUGGCUGGGGAAUGUUAUAUUAACGAGGUCUCUAUUGGCUUGCAAAUGGCAGAAAACCAAUUCUGGUUAAUUGGACCAUUGGGGAAUUGAGUGCACAGAGAGCCAAGGAAAGGGAGAGACUGCUCUGAGAAGGAUACAGCCAAAGCUUAUAGAAACAGUAUCAAAAGCAAGGGCUUCCUCUGCCCUGAGUGUUUGUGUAAUGACAGGAACCUUGCAGUCAUGGGAAAUAACACACCAGUUUCUGUCAGCCUGUAGCCAAGUCUGUGCUCAGCUCACAGCCACAGAAACCUAUGAAGGUGUUUUUGGCUCUGUCCACUCAGAUACCUAAUCCUGACCCUUCCAUUGUGGUCAGGGCCAGGAGACGGUGGUGUUGAGGCCCUAUUGGUGUAUGGCCAGCCCUUGGUAAGGGUCAUGGCGUUUGGAUGUGAAAUUCCCUGUAAAGACUCAGGUGUAGUGGGUUGGUCCCCAGAUGGUGGCGCUGUUUAGAGAUGAAUGUAUCAGGAGGUGCUAAUCUCAUAGAUGGCGUUCACAGCUAAAUUGGCUAUUAGAAGCUGGGCCUGGUUGGAGGAAGCAAGUGAAACACUUUGCAUUCCUUCCCUCUUUCUGCUUCCUAGACACCAUGCAGUACUUCCCUCUCUCCUCCCCCCAUCUCCCUCUCUCCCUACCCCUCUCUCCCUCUCUGCUUCUUCUAUCAUGCCCAAUUGCCAUAAUACCCUCCCAUCACUUCAGGCCCAGCAGUGGAACCAGCCAACUAUGGAUAGAAAUUUCUGGAAUAGUGAAACAAAUAAACCUUCCUUUAAACUGCCUAUCUCGGGUAUUUGCCAAACUUGUGAAAAGUUUGUCCCUUCGGGUCAUGGGCCACCAAGGUGUGUGGUUCCUUGACAGAACAACUCCCAAGACAGCAAUCCCCAAGAGGAAUUCUAAAUACUGUUCAUAAUUGUCUCACUGCAUAGUAGCCAGAACACAAUAGAAGCUGUAUUUGUGAAUACCACAAGAGACUACUGAACUAAAACUUUGGACCAUACAUCAUACAUGCUAAUAGACACCUGUUAGCUAUUCAAGAGGCUGAGGCAGGGGAUCACAAGUUUGAGAAUCAAAUGGGACACCUCAACAAAUGUUUCAAAAUAAAAUGUAUAAGAGGAGGGAGCUGGUAGUCUAGCUCAGAUAUUAACCUGGCCUGGUAGAGACUUUGGGUUCAAUUGUCAGCAUUGUAGCAAAAAAUAAAAUACAUAAGGUAAAAUAAAUAAAUAUAAAGAAAUUAUUUUUG
rnacentral:lncRNA from 1 species